ensembl:lncRNA
CACCUGGGACACACCUGAGCACACCUGGGACACACCUGAGCACACCUGGGGACACCUGAGAUACACCUGGGCACACCUAGGCACAUGUGGGACACACCUGGGCACACCUGGGACACACCUGGGCACACCUGGCCAUGCAGAUGUUGGAUUUUUCCCGCCAUUCCCGGUUUUUUUCUCACCUUUUCCCGUUUUUCCCGUUUUUCUCCCCAAACCGCAGCCGGAUUUCGUCGGCAUCAUCUGCACCCGCCUGAGCCCCAAGAGACUGAUCGAGAAAUGGGUGGACUUCGCCAGGCGGCUCUGCGAGCACCAGUACGGGAACGCGCCGCGCGUGCGCAUCAACGGCCACGUGGCCGCGCGGUUCCCGUUCAUCCCCCUGCCCCUGGACUACGUCCUGCCCGAGCUGCUCAAGAACGCCAUGAGGGCGACGAUGGAGUCGCACCUGGACACUCCGUACAACGUCCCCGACAUCGUGGUGACGAUCGCCAACAACGACAUCGACCUCGUCAUCCGGAUUUCGGACCGGGGGGGAGGAAUUCCCCACGAUUUGCUGGACAAGGUCACCGAGUACCAGCAGUGACCCCAAACACCCCAAAAUCACCCCAAAACUCCCUGAAAUGACCCAAAAUCACCCGAACUUUCCGGAAUUUUCCGGAAUUUUCCGGAAUUCCCGUUUUUUGGCAGGAUUUCGGACCGGGGUGGGGGAAUUCCCCACGAUUUGCUGGACAAGGUCACCGAGUACCAGCAGUGACCCAAACACCCCAGAACUCCCUGAAAUGACCCCGAAACUCCCUGAAAUGACCCAAAAUCACCCCGAAAUCACCCGAAUUUUCCGGAAUUUUCCGGAAUUUUCCGGAAUUCCCGUUUUUUGGCAGGAUUUCAGACCGGGGCAGGGGAAUUCCCCACGAUUUGCUGGACAAGGUCACCGAGUACCAGCAGUGACCCCAAAACACCCCAAAACUCCCCAAAACUCCCUGAAAUGACCCAAAAUGACCCCAAAUUUUCCGGAAUUUUCUGAAAUUUUCCCGAAUUCCCGUUUUUUGGCAGGAUUUCGGACCGGGGCAGGGGAAUUCCCCACGAUUUGCUGGACAAGGUCACCGAGUACCAGCAGUGACCCAAACACCCCAAAACUCCCUGAAAUGACCCAAAAUGACCCAAAAUCACCCGAAUUUUCCGGAAUUUUCUGAAAUUUUCCCGAAUUCCCGUUUUUUGGCAGGAUUUCGGACCGGGGGGGAGGAAUUCCCCACGAUUUGCUGGACAAAGUCACCGAGUACCAGCAGUGACCCCAAACACCCCAAAACACCCCAAAAUCACCCCAAAACUCCCUGAAAUGACCCAAAAUGACCCAAAAUCACCCCAAAAUCACCCGAAUUUUCCGGAAUUUUCCGGAAUUUUCCGGAAUUUUCCCGAAUUCCCGUUUUUUGGCAGGAUUUCGGACCGGGGGGGAGGAAUUCCCCACGAUUUGCUGGACAAGGUCACCGAGUACCAGCAGUGACCCCAAACACCCCAAAAUCACCCCAAAAUCACCCCAAAAUGACCCCAAAACACCCUGAAAUGACCCAAAAUCACCCGAAUUUUCCGGAAUUUUCCGGAAUUUUCCGGAAUUCCCGUUUUUUGGCAG